UACGUAGGGCGCAAGCGUUAUCCGGAAUCAUUGGGCGUAAAGAGCGUGUAGGCGGCCCGAUAAGUCCGCUGUGAAAGUCCAGGGCUCAACCCUGGAAUGCCGGUGGAUACUGUCGGGCUCGAAUCCGGAAGAGGUGAGUGGAAUUCCUGGUGUAGCGGUGAAAUGACGCGAGAUAUCGAGGGAAGGAACCACCAAUGGGCAAGGCAG
rnacentral:rRNA from 1 species